rnacentral:rRNA from 1 species
UACGAAGGGGGCUAGCGUUGUUCGGAAUUACUGGGCGUAAAGCGCACGUAGGCGGCUUGUUAAGUUAGGGGCGAAAUCCCAGGGCUCAACCCUGGAACUGCCUUUAAUACUGGCAAUCUCGAGUCCGAGAGAGGUGAGUGGAAUUCCGAGUGUAGAGGUGAAAUUCGUAGAUAUUCGGAGGAACACCAGUGGCGAAGGCGGCUCACUGGCUCGGUACUGACGCUGAGACGCGAAAGCGUGGGGAGCAAACAGG